rnacentral:rRNA from 1 species
UAUUAUGUACAUAUCUGAUUAUCCAAGUUAAGCACCGUGAAGCCUAGUUAGUACUUAGAUGGGUGACCACUUGAGAAACCUAGGUGAUAUAAGCA